GUCUACGGCCAUACCACCCUGAACGCGCCCGAUCUCGUCUGAUCUCGGAAGCUAAGCAGGGUCGGGCCUGGUUAGUACUUGGAUGGGAGAAAUAUACCAGUGUGGGGCACGUGGUUGACU
rnacentral:rRNA from 1 species